rnacentral:rRNA from 1 species
CCCGGGCCUUGUACACACCGCCCGUCACACCACGAAAGUCGGCAAUACCCGAAGCCGGUGGCCUAACCCGCAAGGGAGGGAGCCGUCGAAGGUAGGGUCGAUGAUUGGGAUG